GACGAACGCUGGCGGCGUGCUUAACACAUGCAAGUCGAGCGGUAAGGCCCUUUCGGGGGUACACGAGCGGCGAACGGGUGAGUAACACGUGGGUGACCUGCCCUCAGCUCUGGGAUAAGCCUGGGAAACCGGGUCUAAUACCGGAUAUGACUCCAUGACGCAUGUUGUGGGGUGGAAAGCCUUGUGCGGCUGAGGAUGGGCCCGCGGCCUAUCAGCUUGUUGGUGGGGGAUGGCCUACCAAGGCGACGACGGGUAGCCGGCCUGAGAGGGCGACCGGCCACACUGGGACUGAGACACGGCCCAGACUCCUACGGGAGGCAGCAGUGGGGAAUCUUGCGCAAUGGGCGAAAGCCUGACGCAGCGACGCUG
rnacentral:rRNA from 1 species